GCCUGGAAAUUACGAGCUCAAGCUUAAAACCCAAAGGACUUGACGGUGUCCCAUCCCCCUAGAGGAGCCUGUUCUAUAAUCGAUUUUCCCCGAUUUACCUCACCACCCCUUGAAUACUCAGUCUGUAUACCUCCGUCGCAAGCUUACCAUGUGAACGCAUUCUUAGUGAGCUUAAAAAUUUAUUAUUUACACGUCAGGUCAAGGUGCAGCCCAUGGGCUGGAAAGAAAUGGGCUACAGUUUCUAUAAUAGAACAAACGAAAAACUACAUGCAAUAUAGCUAUUGAAGGCGGAUUUAGAAGUAAAAAGAAAACAGAGAGUUCUUUUUAAUUGGGCUCUGGGACGCGUACACACCGCCCGUCAUCCUCUUCAAAUAUUUAUUUAAUGUUACUAACCUAAUAAAAUCUGUCAGAAGAGGCAAGUCGUAACACGGUAAGCGUACUGGAAAGUGUGCUUGGAACAACAAAAUGUAACUUAACAAAAGUAUCCUGCUUACACCAAGAAUAUGUCUGUGAAACUCUGACCAUUUUGAUGCCAAAAACCUAGCCCUACUUUUUCAAAUGAUUUAAUUCUACCUGACAAAACUAAUAAAACAUUUUUAAUUCCUAGUAAAGGUGAUUAAAAAGUAUUUAGGAG
rnacentral:rRNA from 1 species